rnacentral:rRNA from 1 species
CCUACGGGCGGCAGCAGUGAGGAAUAUUGGUCAAUGGGCGCGAGCCUGAACCAGCCAAGUAGCGUGAAGGAUGACUGCCCUACGGGUUGUAAACUUCUUUUAUAAAGGAAUAAAGUGAGGCACGUGUGCCUUUUUGUAUGUACUUUAUGAAUAAGGAUCGGCUAACUCCGAGCCAGCAGCGGCGGUAAUACGGAGGAUCCGAGCGUUAUCCGGAUUUAUUGGGUUUAAAGGGAGCGUAGAUGGGUUGUUAAGUCAGUUGGGAAAGUUUGCGGCUCAACCGUAAAAUUGCAAUUGUUACUGGCAGUGUUGAGUACAGUUGAGGUAGGCGGAAGUCGUGGUGGAGCGGUG